UUUUCAAAUAUCAUUAUACUUUUUUCAUAUCCUAGGUACAAUAUAAUUUUAAAUAUUAGGCAACCCUAGUGUAUUUACAGUGUAGAUGACAUAGCCAUUUUUACCAUUUGUUAAAAUACUUCCUGUGCUAUUUAUAGAGUAUUUGGCGUUAACAACAACUAUUUUCAUCUCAGACCAAAUUAAUUUAUAUUUUUAGUCAUUGUUCAACGCAUCGCGGGCAUUACAUUAACUAUCGCAAUGAAUUGGACAAUACUUAUUGAUACAUUUAUAAACUUUUUGACAUUGUCCACCCAAAUUCAACAAUUUAAAGUCAGCGGUGUUCGAGCAUAACUAAUACCGGACCACUUUUUUAAAGCCAUCGAAAAGUCAGAUAGCAGUAAACAAAAUCUGCAAAUCACGUUACAACACUUCUUGGAAGGAAUACACAAAAAUGAUUGAAAAAUUGACAGUGACGACAUUGUUUAGUGAUUCCGAAAAUAAUGUUACAAGCGUAGAAAACAUUAUCCUCCGCUUGCAAGAAUUAUCAACAUUUUUUUACAAAUCUUCAAUAAAAAUCAUUGACGAAGCAAUGGAAUAUAGUUUAGAAACCCUUAGAGCUAUUGAAAAAAUAUUUUCCUACUACGCUGAUACUCAAAAUAUUAUUUUAGAAAAUUGGAAAUUGAAGCUCAAUUUGGAUUGCUACAAGCUCUAUGUUGAGUUUUUACAACAUUAUUCAGCCAAGUCAUUGUUCAACGCAUCGCGGGCAUUACAUUAACUAUCGCAAUGAAUUGGACAAUACUUAUUGAUACAUUUAUAAACUUUUUGACAUUGUCCACCCAAAUUCAACAAUUUAAAGUCAGCGGUGUUCGAGCAUAACUAAUACCGGACCACUUUUUUAAAGCCAUCGAAAAGUCAGAUAGCAGUAAACAAAAUCUGCAAAUCACGUUACAACACUUCUUGGAAGGAAUACACAAAAAUGAUUGAAAAAUUGACAGUGACGACAUUGUUUAGUGAUUCCGAAAAUAAUGUUACAAGCGUAGAAAACAUUAUCCUCCGCUUGCAAGAAUUAUCAACAUUUUUUUACAAAUCUUCAAUAAGUACAAAAUCAUUUUCUACUGAUAGUUUUUUGUUUUUUGAAAUGUCAAAAAAUUCAAGUCGCGAACUAUUAUUAAGACUAAGGCAAAUUCCAACAGCUCAACCAUCAUUAGUAAAAAUUUAUCUUAAAAACUACUUUGCUGAAAUGGAAUUCUUUCACACUAUACUUUCAGAAAUCAUUGACGAAGCAAUGGAAUAUAGUUUAGAAACCCUUAGAGCUAUUGAAAAAAUAUUUUCCUACUACGCUGAUACUCAAAAUAUUAUUUUAGAAAAUUGGAAAUUGAAGCUCAAUUUGUAUUGCUAGAAGCUCUAUGUUGAGUUUUUACAUUAUUCAGCCAAGGUAUUUAAAUGUGCCGCUGGGGAUAAUCUUCAAGUGGUUUAUGAUGUGUAUUCUGUGACAAAGCUUAAUGUCAAAUAUAUUAUGGCACAGCUUGAGUUCCGCAUCCAACGUCUUUUCAAUUGCUUUAUGAAUAGAAGUCUUACUACACGAUGUAAAUUUGUAUUCAGCGCGGAACGAGAUUUUAGAAUUUUAUUUAGGAAACUUGCCGACUUACAAAUAUAUUUACAUGUAAAAACUAAAAAAGACAACUUUUCGGCAUUACGAUUUCGUCGAAAGGCUACAAUGCAAGAUAAUACAUUAAAAUCGACAAUUAACAAUUGUAUCCCAAUUGGGUUUCCACAUAGUCAAAUGUCAUUUGAUCAAAAUAAAUGCUUUAUUUUAAUUUUAUUAUUUAUAAACAAAAAAUAAAUAAUGUACAUAAUAAUGUAAUUAUAAUAAUAAAUACACUUGACCAAUAUUUUUUUUUACGUUUAUACAAAUUUAUAUUAUUUAGAGAAAAAGAA